GGCGGAGUUUGAUUAAGCCACACAAUGAACAGCUUAAUUUGGUAUCGAAUUUGCCAUGCACGAGAUUUGAACCUAAAACCUUUCAUUUCUAAGCAAAAAGAAAUACCACUAUACCGUAACACUGAAUGUCAAUUUAGAAUCUUUACUAUUAAAUUACCAGAACCCCCAUAAUGGCCGGCAUUUGCUUGCUGUCAGAUAUCACAUGUUAUCUUAUGAAUGGUCCACCAAUCUCAGAAGCUUGCUGCAUAUGUCACAUCUCAUAAGAUUGCUGUCAUAAGCUUGAUAAGAGCACCAACCACAUGGUCCAACAAUUAAUCUCGAUGUCAUAAGCUUCAUGUCACUGUUGUCACAUGUUAGUUUUAGGAAGACAGAUUUACACAUUACAAAUUACUUCUUUAACAAUUUUUUAAUUUUUUAAUAUUUUUUAUAUAUUAUUAACACUUGAUAGAAAAAUAUUAAAAAAUUAAAAAAAUAUGAGAGAAAUAAUUUAAGAUAUGUAAAUAUAAUCUCCUUUUUAUGAAUGAUUUAGCUUGGACUAGAAUUCAAACAUUUGUUAGCACUACAAUUGAGAAAUUUCAGAUCUGAUUUGUAUAGACUGUGUGACAACAACUUAUUAUCAAUGAUCUAUUAUUUAUAGCUUAUUUCAAAUUCUCAACCCUUAGGAUAAAUAUCAUAAAAAAUAUUUUGUACCAUCCCACUAUUUACUCUUUUUUUGCCGAUUGGAGUAUUGGAUAUCAAUUUACCUAACUGAUAUUUUUUUUCUAAGCUUUAUACCUUUCUUUUUCUUGAUGAUCUAUUUUUGUUACUUUUCUCCUUCGGUGUGGUACACUUUUUAUUGGUUAACCAUAUAGUUUGUUGGCGAUUUUUUCAGAUACUUGGAGCCUUUUGGUACCUUUUCUCUAUUCAACGAGAAACAGAUUGUUGGCACCAGGCAUGCAGAAAUACUGCAGGAUGUAAACCAAGUUUCUAUUGCGAUGACAAUGUUCCAAUCAAUAUCACAACAUUGCUUACUGAAUUCUGUCCCACAAGUCCCAUAAAUUCUACGGUAUUUGAUUUUGGAAUGUUUUCCAACGGAAUUGAGUCUGGUAACACCGGACCGAUAAAUUUUUUGACAAAGCUCUUUUACUCUUGGUGAUGGGGUCUCCUAAAUCUAAGUAAUUUUGGCACCAGUCUGCAAACAAGUUCGUACGUUUGGGAGAGCCUCUUUGCAAUUCUGAUUUCCACUAUUGGGUUGCUACUAAUUUCUUAUCUUAUUGGAAACGUACAGAAUUGUCUACUGUGGGAGGAGGAAAAAAAAGUGCAAGAACCGAAGCUGAAGAUCAUAGAGGAAGGUCUAAGAUUGUGGGCCUUCAAAAAUAAUCUCCCUCAACAUUUGGAGAAAGAAGUCAUAAAAAACAUAAAACAAGCAAUUGAACUAGACAAAGAUGCAGAUGUCGAGAAUCUAUUCUCUCUGCUUCCACGGCGUACCGGGCGAAAUCUAAAGCGUUUUCUCUUCAUGAAUCGAAUGAUGGCAAUACCAAGGCGUAAAAAUAUGGAUGAGAAAGUUCUGAAAAUGAUAUGUGACUAUCUCAAGCCAGUGGUCUACCCUCAGGAUAAAAUCAUCCGUCGGAUGGGAGAACCAUUUGAUAGCAUUCUCUUCGUUACUUAAGGCACUGUGUGGGUUUACUCGACUACUGACAGAAGUCAGCAGAUCGGAAAGAUGAAGCAAUUCCUUCAGAAAGGUUAUAUUUAUGGAGCCGAAGAACUUCUGAGUUGGGCAACAUCCCACAGUAGCAGCCUCUCCUUUGUCGACCUUCCUUUCUCGACGGAAAAUGUGAAAUGUCACACAAAGGUACAAGGUUUUGCUCUCAGCGCUAUGGACUUGCAAGCUAUAGUUUCCAACUGCGGACAUUUGUGGAGCCCUAGUAAUUCUGAUGAGGCGGAGGUACCUCAUACCACUACUUUAGUGCUAGUGUAGAUAGGAGCAUUGGCCUCCUCCCAUUCUGCAACAAAAGUUACAGAGUUAAGAAGCGUGUGACAAGUUUAAUUUAUUACCAUUUCUCCUCAGUUUUCAAUUUUUAA